UACGGAGGGUGCGAGCGAUAAUCGGAAUUACUGUGCGUAAAGCGCACGCAGGCGGUUUGUUAAGCUAGAUGUGAAAGCCCCGGGCUCAACCUGGGAUGGUCAUUUAGAACUGGCAGACUAGAGUCUUGGAGAGGGGAGUGGAAUUCCAGGUGUAGCGGUGAAAUGCGUAGAUAUCUGGAGGAACAUCAGUGGCGAAGGCGACUCCCUGGCCAAAGACUGACGCUCAUGUGCGAAAGUGUGGGUAGCGAACAGG
rnacentral:rRNA from 1 species